GCCGUAUAGCGGAGCUACCGAGAGGCAGAAGCCGAAAGCAAGUGAGCUGAGCGCAGGGGGACGGACGCGACGAUGGUGGUGGUGGCGACGGCGAGCCCCGGCGGGCCGGAGGCGCUGCAGGUGCGCGAGGUCGAGGACCUCCCGGCGCCGGGGGAGGGCGAGGUGCUUGUCGGGGUGGCCGCCGCCGGCGUCAAUCGUGGCGACACGGUCCAGUGGCAGGGCCGGUACCCGCCGGCGGCCGGCGCCUCGCCCUACCCGGGCGGUUAAUUGUUGUGGUACCUGUUGUUUUGCCUAGUACUAUUUGAGAUGGAGCAGGAGUACAUCAGCACGCUGGUACUAUUUGAGAUGAAGCUGGAGUACCACAGUUUGGAUUGCUAGCAGCAAAAGCUGUGUGCUAAAAUUAGAAGACCAAGAAGACACUAUAUCGAUAUUUAGCCUUCUCAGCGGUGCUUGUUGCAGUUUACUUGACACUAGCAACCAUCCACACGCUGGAUGAUGAUCUGGUGGUAGAAAGCUUGACGGAAGAGGAAGAGAAAAAUGCUUUGAAUGCAUAUAUGGUGUAAGCAGCACACCUUCUUUGCUCCUUCUUUGGUGGCAUAAGGCAACUAUGUUUCCUCACACUUAUCUGAAUAUAUCAGUGGUACAUUAUAUGCAAUAUUGGACCAGAUUGCAUAUACAGUGAUGUUUCUCUGACGGGCAAGCUUCAGAGUUUCAGUUCCUACUUGCCAGUUUCAUCAACGGAGCAACUCAAAGACCAUAAUUCUGGGAGUCUUGCAUUCAUUACUUCGAUUCUGCAGAACCAUGACAGUCAACCGUCAGUUUUGCUGUUGGAAUUCAGAACUUAGCUGUUGCAUCCAAAACAUAUAUCAGUAAUGGAAGCACAUGUCUUGCUGUCCUCAAGGAGCUGCACAGUUCUUCAUAGAGACAAUCUAUCCGAAAAGGCUAUUCACUGAUGCGUGCACUGGCUUCCCAGUGACUGCACAUCUCCGUGGUUCCGUUUCACAAGGCUAACAAUUUUUACCAAGUAGAGUACUGCUAAGUUUCAUUUUGUUCCAAACAGUGUGCCAAUUCACAUGGACCAAGCUUAUAUGUGGUACUUCCAACCCACAAACUAAACAGAUUUCUUAGUUCAGAUCAUACUUUUAUGUAGGAAAAGGCUAGCACGGCUCUUAAGAACCCUAACCAAUGCUGCUUUGGUUUUACAACUUUCAUUGCUUCUAACAUCCAAAUCAAAUUGUUGUUACACACAUGUUUGCUGUAUAGAUGCACUAAAAAAAAUUCCUAAAUUUACUUUCUUGUAGAAUUGCAUUUUUCUGGUUGUAAAAAUAGGAUGAGCAGCAACUUUCUUGUCAACAUGAUGGCCUCCUGAAAAUAAUUUAGACCCGUCCAUCACUUAUUUAUGAACUACUUUUCAGUGUCUUCUAUCGAUGAUAAGUGAGCUACUUUUUCCUUAGAGAUCGCCUUCCCAUUGACACUAACUUGUAUAGCACACAGUUUCCCUUCCCAAUGCACUCGUAAUGCAUAGAUAGUCCCUCCUAAUCAUCUUGUGUUCGUUUUCUGUCAAGAUUCAGAUCGAAUUUCUGACAUCAGAGACACGUAUUCUGUUAAUCAGGUGCUGAAGGUAAGAUCAGGACACAAAAAACAUAUUGGACUUAAUAAUUAGCAGUUCCAAUUUGAUAUACUGUGCGAAAACACUUAUUAUCCAGGAAUCUAGCUUCAUGUAAGCAUGCAAAGUUGAUUUUUUACAUCCAAUUUGACCUAUUGCAGAAAAAAUCAAUCCUCUCCACUUGAAGGUAGGUGAUGCACACAGAUUUCUUCUUACCUUGCAAGCGCCGUUGGAUGAAGACAGUAGGCAUGAUCAUGGACAAACGCAGAGAGGACAUUGUUUAUUUGCGUAGGACUGUCGGGGGAUAAUUGGAUCGAGUAGGAGUUGUUACGUGGAAGAGGAGUAGCUAGCUGGGCGAUCCUUUGGCUAGGUGAUGAGGAAGAAAUUGACACGGCCGGCCGUUGUAUGGGAGCACGGCCAGAGAUGGACUUCGAUAAGGUCUGCACCCAAAUCAGAAAGUUUGGCCACCCUUAACAAUAUCCUCAUCGGACAUAACUUGGGGAAGGCGAAGGCGUACCCCCUACUAUAUAAGCUCCGCCACCCACGCCCCAAACAAAUCACAACCAACCUUCCAAGUCGUUUGUUCCCCCGAGCAAUCGAGUUGUGUUCCCGGCGAUCGAUCGAUCUUGCUGAGCAUCAUGGUUUCCGCCGACGUGGCCCGCAACAUCGUGGGCAUCAUUGGCAAUGUCAUCUCCUUCGGCCUCUUCCUCUCCCCUGUGCCGACGUUCUGGCGUAUCUACAAGGCCAAGGACGUGGAGGAGUUCAAGCCGGACCCCUACCUGGCGACGCUCAUGAACUGCCUGCUCUGGUUCUUCUACGGGCUCCCUGUCGUCCACCCCAACAGCACCCUCGUCCUCACCAUCAACGGCAUCGGCCUCGUCAUCGAGGGCGCCUACAUCAUCAUGUUCAUCAUCUACGCGGCCAAGAACACAAGGUGGAAGAUGCUCGGCGUGCUCGCCAUCGAGGCGGCGUUCAUGGCUGCCGUGGUGGCCGGUGUGCUCGUCGGCGCCCACACCCACGAGAAGCGCUCCAUGAUCGUAGGCAUCCUCUGCGUCAUCUUCGGCUCCAUCAUGUACGCCUCCCCGCUCACCAUCAUGGGUAAAGUGAUCAGGACCAAGAGUGUGGAGUACAUGCCAUUCUUCCUGUCGCUGGUAAACUUCCUCAACGGUCUCUGCUGGACGGGCUAUGCGCUCAUCAAGUUUGACAUCUACAUCACGAUCCCCAAUGCCCUUGGUACAAUCUUCGGCCUCGUCCAGCUGAUCCUCUACGGGUACUACUACAGAUCGACCCCCAAGAAGGGCAAGAACGUCGAACUGCCCACCAUCCUCACCAAAAACGCCGUUACCAGUGGCAACGUCUCGGUCACCAUUGAGAAAUAAGCUUGGCGUGGUUUUUAGCCCUAAAGAUUUUGAGUAGUUAAUACCGGAUGAUACUUCAACAGGUCUGAUGUUAAUUAGUAGUACUUUUUGUUAGCUAGUAUAGUCUGAGAUUGCCUUUAAUUUUGUGAACCAUUGUCGUCUGUCCGAGACUACAGUGCAAAUUGCAAGUGUAUAAUAUAAAUACCAAUGCAGCUGAGUUAUCCCAGAGAUAUAUUAUGACACCACGUAUGCC
rnacentral:rRNA from 1 species